rnacentral:rRNA from 1 species
AUUGGACGCUGGCGGCAGGCCUAACACAUGCAAGUCGGACGGUAGCACAGAGGAGCUUGCUCCUUGGGUGACGAGUGGCGGACGGGUGAGUAAUGUCUGGGGAUCUGCCCGAUAGAGGGGGAUAACCACUGGAAACGGUGGCUAAUACCGCAUAACGUCGCAAGACCAAAGAGGGGGACCUUCGGGCCUCUCACUAUCGGAUGAACCCAGAUGGGAUUAGCUAGUAGGCGGGGUAAUGGCCCACCUAGGCGACGAUCCCUAGCUGGUCUGAGAGGAUGACCAGCCACACUGGAACUGAGACACGGUCCAGACUCCUACGGGAGGCAGCAGUGGGGAAUAUUGCACAAUGGGCGCAAGCCUGAUGCAGCCAUGCCGCGUGUAUGAAGAAGGCCUUCGGGUUGUAAAGUACUUUCAGCGGGGAGGAAGGCGGUGAGGUUAAUAACCUCGCCGAUUGACGUUACCCGCAGAAGAAGCACCGGCUAACUCCGUGCCAGCAGCCGCAGUAA